GUGACACCCCUCAGCGGCUAGCAGAGGCAGCCAUGAGCACACUGGUCUUGCUGCCACUGGGAGCAGAGCUUGUGAAGUUCUGAAGUCUCGGUGCUUCGAGGGUGUGAAACGGAACAGAUGCUGCCCCGCGAUCCCGCCUGGUGGACCACAGGAACCUAGGACUCAGGCAGAGAAUAUUCAUCGAGAAUGCACAACUGCUCCGGGGUCACAGGCUUCCUCCUCUUGGGAUUCCCUGGACUGUGGAGCCCUCAGGUCCUGCAAGCUGGGGCUCCCCCUGCAGCCUACCUGGCUGCCCUCAUGGGGACUGGCCUCACCAUCACCAUCCCCUCUGGACCCAGGCCUCCACACACCCAUGCUUCUUCCUAAGGAAACUGUCCCUCUUUGAGAUUGGCCUCAUUUCUGCUGUGGUGCCCAAAGCUCUAGCCAACUCCGUCACCCACUGCCGCUCCAUCUCGUCCCUCGCCUGUGGGGCCCAGGUCUUUCUGGUACCUUUCUCUGCAGUUGCAGAGCUGAGCCUCCUCCCAGGGAUGUCCAUGGACCGCUAGGCCACCA